CACACUUCUGAAGCACUUGAAGUGUUUGCACUCCUUGCGUUGAGUUAGUUACUGUGAUUCACCUUCUCAAUGCCAUCGAACUUCUGGAAUGUAGGAAGUUUUCACCCCAACUUGGAGUAAUUCUCUCAUAGGUUUAGUCACCUCUGGGAUUGUACCGUCUUCUCCAUCAACCCUGUCGCCUACUCCACUGAGUAGCAAAGGUACAACACCGCGUACUGCCUGCUUCAUUCCUUGGUUAUGCACUCUUGCAUGACCCGAAGUCCUUCACUUUCGGCUAUCUUGAUGAGAAGCACAUUGACACCAGUCUUACGAAGUUCUUCGGCCUCUGCCCUUCAGCCUUGUCUCGGUACUUGGAGAUUGCC
rnacentral:lncRNA from 1 species